rnacentral:sRNA from 12 species
ACAGCGGCUUGUAAAGCCUGGAGACUCUGGUUGUCCGUAGGACAACCUAGCUGUUCCUGAAAUGGAAUGGGAUAGAUUGAAAUCGGAGCCCAGGGUAAGCCGCUUU